AUAUUAAAUGAUGGUUAAAAUAUGUAAUAAAAGUAGAGGAAUUAAAACUUAAUUUUGUGAAUAGUACAAAUACUUAUAAUAUAUUUUAACAACAAAAUUAUUCAUUUAACCCACAAUACGAGAAAAAAUACUAAUAGAAUAAUAAAAUGAAUGUCGAUACCCAUAAAAGUAAAGGUCAAAUGUUGGAUAUAUCUGUAAACGGGCCAAUUAUCCCGGGCCCACGUCAAGAACCAAAGUCCAAAAUAAAAAACAAAAAAAUAAACAAAAACCAAACCAAAAUUAAAAUGCCCAAUUUUAAAGCAGUCCAAAACCCAAAUAACCCCAAGUACAAUGGCCCAAUACCCUACAGCCCAAAAACAAAAAUCAAGGCAGAAACCUUAGGUUUUUUUGCCUCUUGCACAACAGCCCCAGCCUCCGUACCCUCCACCAGCACACAGCCCUCGUACGCCACGCCCGCACCUCCGUACGAUGCCAGCGGACUCCGUACUUGCAAGCAAAUACGAAAACACCAGCACAGCAAAGAGAAAGAAAAAAUGACAAGAAACUUGUAUUUUCUUUUUCAUUUUUUCUCUAUUUCCGGCUAUAAAAGCCAUGUAAUAACCGUUGUAUUUUUUUUUACGAACACUGAGACACAUAGAAUAGAAAAAAGCAAUCAAGAUAGUAAAGGUGAUUUUAAAGUUCUUUUUUUCUCUCUGUCGAUUUAUCUUCCUUUUGAAUGAUUUAAAUUUUUUUUAUACGUAAAUCGACACCGAUGAGAAGCCCAAAUACCUCAUGAUGCAGAGGUAAGGGCGAGGGGUCGAACAAUGUGGAGAUUUCCUUGCUCUAUGAAACCUUCUUUUUACUUGAAAAAAAAAUAAACAAGGAUUUAAAGUUUUUUUAAAAAAAAUGAAGAAGAAAAAUAACAAGGAAGCUUACCGGAUCUCUGCGAGCGUGCACCAGGUCAGGCCAUCACCUAAGAACGGUCGGUCACCAAAUAAAUGGUGGUUCAGCAGCCUCAUGCCAAAUGAAACCCUAACAAAUUGGGUUAAUGGCCUUUGUUUUAAUGGUGGGCUACAUUUUAAGAAGGAAAUAAUGGGGGGAUCAAUAAAGGACGAAACGGCGUCGUUGCAAAGGGGGAGGGUCCGCGCGUCAACCGGCUCCAAGACCCAAACCUACGCCCUUGUGCUGCAAAUAGGUUAUUUGCAAGAUUGGUCCUCCCCUUUUUCGUACACAUUCAAUCGCGCCUUAUCCGUUUUGUUUUGUUUUGUUUUUAAAUUAGCUUGUUAAUUUGUGCGUG
rnacentral:lncRNA from 1 species